GCGGAAGUGGCGGAACUGGCAGACGCGCAAGCCUCAGGAGCUUGUGGGGGCAACCCCGUGGAGGUUCGAGUCCUCUCUUCCGCACCA
rnacentral:tRNA from 1 species